UACGGAGGGAGCUAGCGUUGUUCGGAGUUACUGGGCGUAAAGCGCACGUAGGCGGCUUUGCAAGUCAGAGGUGAAAGCCUGGAGCUCAACUCCAGAAUUGCCUUUGAGACUGCAUCGCUUGAACACGGGAGAGGUGAGUGGAAUUCCGAGUGUAGAGGUGAAAUUCGUAGAUAUUCGGAAGAACACCGGUGGCGAAGGCGGCUCACUGGCUCGUAACUGACGCUCAGGCGCGACAGCGUGGGGAUCAAACAGG
rnacentral:rRNA from 1 species